rnacentral:rRNA from 1 species
GACGAACGCUGGCGGCGUGCUUAACACAUGCAAGUCGAACGGAAAGGCCCUUCCGGGUUCUCGAGUGUCGGACGGGAGCGUAACACGUGGGUGAGCGGACCCGCACUCUGGGAUAAGCCUGGGAAACGGGGUCUAAUACCGAAUCUGACUACGAGCAGGGUGGUGUUUGGCGGUAAGCUUUUGCGGUGUGGGAUGGGCCCGCGGCCUAUCAGCUUGUUGGUGGGGUAAUGGCCUACCAAGGCGACGACGGGUAGCCGGCCUGAGAGGGUGACCGGCCACACUGGGACUGAGAUACGGCCCAGACUCCUACGGGAGGCAGCAGUGGGGAAUAUUGCACAAUGGGCGAAAGCCUGAUGCAGCGACGCCGCGUGAGGGAUGACGGCCUUCGGGUUGUAAACCUCUUUCAGUAGGGAAGAAGCGAAAGUGACGGUACCUAUAGAAGAAGCACCGGCUAACUACGUG